ACCGGCACCAUAUGGGAUCCUGGGCGUGCAAGGCGAGGACUUUAACCACUGCACCACCACGCUGGGCCCAUGUGCACAUACUUUUAUAAGGCUCUCUGAAGUUUAAUUGUACUUAUGCUGAAUGCAGAUUCUUUUCCUAGUCUGCUUCUUGGGCCUGGUUGUUUGUGAUUUGGGAAACCAGCAAAGAUAGAAAGGCUCCUGAGCGGUAGCAGGCCUCUCCUUUUUCUGUGAAAUCCAGCAUUUUCCUUUACUUAGGGAAGAUAAUUUCUUUCACUGUAUAAAAUUGACAUAACAUUAUUGAAAAAAAAAAGUAGAAAAAGAAGCUUAAACAGUAGUUUUCUUUUCACACCUGAGUUUGAUGCUGUGUGGUUUACCACAUGCAUGUUCAUUCCUGAGUAUUGUACCACAUCCUUAUUGGCACAUUUCAUUGUUGUGACAAAUCAGCCGCAUCAUAGCCUAAAUAACAAGAAUUUGAGAAGAUUUUGGGACUCCUUUUCAUUCUGGAAUCCUUAUUCAUAGCUGUCUUAGUUUCAUAAAAUCAUGCAAAGAAACAAACUUACCCUGUAAUGUAUGCCCUUUAAAUAAAUUUCAAACAGGGAAGGACCAACAGUGCUGCUCUGGAUCUUACCCGAUUUUAUGUAUUCAAGAAUCUGGCCCCAGGAAGUUGUUUUCUUUUCUGCAUCAUCAUUUUCCUUCUUUACUGGAUCUUACCUACUCGUACAGAAACGUGCUAUUAUUUUUACUGUUGUAAACUAUCAAAAUGUUUCAGACACCUUGUUCUUACUUAGGCACUAUUGCGCUUGUCUUUAGAACAAAAUUCCUGAAAAGAGGUGUCUAUACACCUUGUCUUCAAUUCCUCUCCUUUGUUUGACUUUGAGUCUUCCAGAACAUAUUUCCUGCUUCUGCUUCAAAACCUGCACUUUUCUAGGUUUCCAGUAACCUCUGUGUUACCAAGUGUAAUUGUGGCCCAUCUGACUUGACUUAGCACCAACAUUUUUGCACAGUGGAUCACAUCCCCUUCAUGCAAGCCUUUCUUCACUCAAGUACCAGCCUGAACAUUCCCUGGAUUUUUCCCAUUCUUUCCUAGUUUUCCCGAUUCUUCAACCUUAUUAAUGGGAUGCUCUUCCCUUUGAUUUAUAAUGGACUUGAGGAGUGAUGCUGCCCAUUCUCAUGGUGGGUCUCCGAUUUGCUUAUUCCUACCUGACACCUGCACUUGGCUGCCUAAAUUAACUUGUCUAAACUUAAAUUCCUGUUCUUUUUGUUUGUGCUGGUCAGCAUCACUGGCUCCUGUGACAUUCUUCUCACACAGAAAGCACAUUCAGAGCUCAAGGGCUUUGCAUUUGAAGUGACCUCUGUCGGCUGGGCCUUCUUGUGUGUCCCACAUAUCUUGUCUCUACCUCCUGAAGUCUUUACUCAAAUAUCUGCACUCUCAGCUCACCCAUAUUUUUCUGUGCUGCAUACUGAUUAGGUUUGCCUGUUUUAUUCAUGCACUGAUGUGAUUCUACUGAGAAAUAUUUUCCCGGUUGCUACCAUAGACCUUGGUGCUCAGUUAAUAUAUAUUGAGUGAAAAGAUGAGAGGAUAUUAUUACAAUUGUAGUUGAUGUUAAUAGUUCUAGCACAGUUUUCAGAAUUGAAAAUCUGAAAAAGCUUAGUCACUUAUGAGACUUCACUUGAGUAGCAGCAGCCACUUUCCUGCUCUUAUAGGAAAGUUUCCACUGUGCGUCUUUUUCUUCAGCAGCUGUCUAAGCAAAUUGCUCAUCCUAGCUGCUUCUUGGAAUCAGUCUGGCCGCCUCUCAACUUCUCCUGGCUCUGCUGGUUCCACCAAGGCUUCUGUUCAUAGAGCUUAGUUCUGCUUCCUGACCUCACAGAGCUUGCCCUUUUUAUAGUAAAAAACAAAAAGGUGGGGCGAGGGAAAGCCAGUGGUGAUGUCAUUAACUCAGCUGGUUUCAAUCAGGCUGCUCAGUUGAAGCUGGUGAAUGACUCUGCAAGUUAUCUUUGCUAGGGCCACACUGAUUCUGACACAAAGCAAAUUAUGUGUCCCAUUAAUCGUUCAGCGAUGAUCACUUGCAAAGCACAGGAAUUCAUUUCCUCAGUCUCUUCGAAGGCAAGUCCUGAAUGAGGGCUGGCUGCUCCUUCACGCACAAUAUAGUCAGGGUUUGGAUCUGCUGGUUGUCUGGUUUUGGCUCGCUCUCUGCUCCGACACCGCCAGUGUCUCCUGAAGCGUUCUGGUGUUCAUUAUUUCAUCGUGUUUUCUAGAUGACAUUUAUCAAAGCUUUAAUUGAUCUGUCCAAAACUCAUUUCCCGCCUUGAGCCUCUACUGUACCCUUACUCAUGCCUUUGUCAUCUGUAAAAAUGAAAUUGUGAAGUGUUUUUUUUUUUUUUCCUGUUUGUUGGUGGCUUGGAUUCUUUUAGAUUCACCUGACUUUUAGGUGUUCAUUUUUAAAAAUUGCUAAUCUUGGAUCUCCUUUAUUAAUUUUUAUUUUGACUU